UAUACAUUCCAUAUUAUCACAUCCAAAACAUAAAAACGCAUUUUUGUUUUAAGUAUAUUUUCGCUUACCUAAAGUCUUUAAUAGUUUUUUAAUUAAUGUAGAAGUGUAAAAAAAUAUAGAAAAAUAUAUAUAAACACUCGUAAUGACAAGCUUUAUAACUUUCAUGAAGAGCUUAACUUCGAAAUUCGCCACUAUAAUCAUAUAAAUCAUAGAUCAAAAUUUAACCGUUGAUUGUUGUUUACAUUUAUGCUUCAUUGUUCGCAUCAAAUUUCAUUUUUUUAGAUUUUCUUUUUUGAAAACAUGAUCUAUUAGAGGGUGCAGGUAGAUGAACUGUUUGGAUCGUUGAAAUUAUAUUUAGAGUUUUACGGUUAGUGAAAAUAUUGCUUGAUGUUUAUAAAGUUUCUACAAAUUAUAUGACAUUGACUCAUAUUUCAGUUAACUGUAAAUAUCGAAACGUGAUAUCAUCUUCUUACAUUCGCCAGAUGAUCAUGCUUUCAAAAAAUAAAAUUUUAAAAAUGAAAUUCAGUCAAAAGAAUAAAGUGUAAAUAACAAUUGACGGUUAAAUAAAUUUAAGGUUUCACUACUACAAAAUUAUCUAUUGCUGGCGGUCCAAAAACUUUUUUCAACGAUCCAACCGUCAAACUUAUUUGUACACAUUCCAAGAUUGCAUACGUAAAGAAUGGUAAAAAACAAACAUUCAGAGAUUACGUAACAGAACAAAAGUUUUCGACGGUUAUAACGAAAAAUCACAAUUUAACGGUUAUUUUAGCUCCGAUUUUGAUGAUUUUUUACAAAUACACUCCUCGACCCUAUACGAAUGUAAUGAAUAAAUUUGAUCUUUAAUUUAAAGUAUUUACACUAGUGCAUACCACAAAAACUUAUUUUAUACUUAAUAGAAGUAUAAUAUUAACUCUAAGUGUUUGUUUAAUCUACCGUUUUGACGCAAUAUGCAUUCUACGAAACUUUUUUCAACGAUCCAACCGUCAAACAUAUUUGUACACAUUUCGAGAUCGCAUACAUAAAAAAUCGUAAAAAACAAACAUUCAGAGAUUACGUAAUGGAACAAAAGUUUUCGACGGUUAUAAACGAAAAAUCACAAUUUAACGGUUAUUUUAUCUCUGAUUUUGAUGAUUUUUUACAGAUACACUCCUCGACCCUAUAAGAAUGUAAUGAAUAAAUUUGAUCUUUAAUUUAAAGUAUUUACACUAGUGGAUACCACAAAAACUUAUUUUAUACUUAAUAGAAGUAUAGUAUUAACUCUAAGUGUUUGUUUAAUCUACUGUUUUGAUGCAAUAUGCAUUCUAUAAAACUUUUUUCAACUAUCCAACCGUCAAAUUUAUUUGUACACAUUCCGAGAUCGCAUACGUAAAAAAUCAUAAAAAACAAACAUUCAGAGAUUACGUAACGGAACAAAAGUUUUCGACGGUUAUAAACGAAAAAUCACAAUUUAACGGUUAUUUUAGCUCUGAUUUUGAUGAUUUUUUUACAGAUACACUCCUCGACCCUAUAAGAAUGUAAUGAAUAAAUUUGAU
rnacentral:lncRNA from 1 species